UCCAGACGCUGAGUAUGAAGGAUGUUUCCAUGAUGACUCCCAGUCGACUACACUCCAUUCUCGCGCUACCAUGCCUCCAGUCACUCACCUUGAGGAAUGUCAGAGAAUUUAACACGGAUGAUAGAGAGACACUGACUGGUCAAACAUUCUCAGUAGAUGAGCUUUCUGUGGAUGGUAUGCAUGUGACCAUCCUGUGGAAUUUUGGACUUCAUACGUCAUGUCCAAGAGUUCAAAAACUCCUACUGGACUGGUCAGCCAUGGAGAAUGUCUCAUCAGACAUCGUCACAAUGGCCUGCUCUCCAUUCCAUGAUCUAACUCACCUUCACAUCCGGGGACAGAUGCCCUUCAGAGCAUCCACACUGAAUGAUCCUGUGUCAUUUUGCGAUGCUGUUAAAACGUCAUGUCCUCGACUCACCAAGCUGUCCCUUACCAACAUUGUCCUGACCAACAAGAAGGCAGCUGAGAUCAUCCAACUCUUGAAGACUCAUCCAAAUCUGACAAGCAUAGAGUUGAAAACGUGUGAUACCGACAUGGAUCUGAUCCACUGAUUUAUGAGGUGAACAGUGAAGGCAAGCUGACUGUCACAGUGACUUAAUUUUAGGUACUGCCAUUACCAUAAUGAUGGAUGGAAAGAUAACCCUCAAGUAAUAUGUGAUUUGCCAUCAAGAUACAACGUAUCAACAUUUUAAACACAUUGGGAGGUGACCCUCAUCAGACCAAAUGAUGGCAGCAGACUACUUUGGAUUUGAAAAUGAUACCUGUCAAAUGUAACCAGGCUACCCGAAUAACUAAUUUUACUAAUUGAAGGAUCAUUAGAGUUAAAACGUAUGGAAAACAGUAUCUUAAGCAAUUAAUGAUUAUACCCUGUCAUGAUACUUUUCAUGAAUAACUUUAUAAUUACGUUGAAGCAUAUAUGGAGCUCCAAGAUAAGCAAAGGUUUGACGCCUUGUGUGCCCUCACCAUUUGAUAUAAUAAAAGAGGCUUCCUGGUGAUGUAAAUAGUAUAGAUUAUUAAUGUUAAAGACAUCGUUUAACAAUGUUAAAUCUCAGAUGCACGGCCCUACGUGUUUUCAGUGUCUUUGAUAUGGUGUAAUAUUGAAGCCCUAAAAAAUU